GACCACUGAGCUCUACUAUAUAUAUCUGGAGAUCGUGCUCGCAAAUGAAAAGUGUCCGCAAAAACAUGGCGGAUUUCGAGCUCCACGCAUUGAACUAUAAAUAAACUGGAAGGCUAACUGCUAUGAUGAAGGCCUAUGAUUUGAUGAAGCCAAAAUAGUUUUUCUAAGUUAUGAGCAGAAAUACUUGACCCCAAACGUCGGGCAAUAUAUCAAAUUGAAGCUAUUGAAAAUUGCUAUUCGUUGUGGAAAUUUCAAGACUUCAGCGAAAAGAAAAAUAUUUAAAAAAUACAAAAACAACCGCAAAACGGCAAAUUAUCGGUAAUUAUGUUUGUAGUUUUUCAAUAUUUCCCUUUUAGCUAAAGUCUUGAAAUUUCUACACCAAAUAGCGCUUUUCAAUAGCUUCAAUUUGGUAUACAGCCCAACGUUCAGUGUUGAGUAUUUCUGCUCAUAACUCAGAAAAACUAAAAUGCACUGGCUUCAAUUUCCCCCCCCCUGAGUUAGCCUUCCAGUUUAUUUAUAGUUCAAUGGCUCCACGUCCACUAUUCUCAUGGUACGUUAACUGACCACAGCUCAAAUGCGUGCGGGCGACAUUUCCCACUCCCCCCUGACCAGAGAGCCACUGAUCUUUAUAAUUUUUAAAAAAGGAGUACAUAGUUACAUCAAAGAUUAGAUACUAUAAAGAUGUGUCACUCGACGUAUUUCCCUAAUGUUUGCGUGUCCGUAAUUUUCCGUGCUGAUCACGAGUGAUCACGCGAGAUGACGAGUGCAUAACACUUACUGCCAAAAUGGCGGCGAGACUGAAUCAUUGAACUAAAAAUAACUGGAACGAUACCUCCAACCGGAAAUGUGAAGCCAUGCCCAGGCAUGCCCACUGUUGUCAUGCCCAGUCUUUUCACG